GACGAACGCUGGCGGCGUGCUUAACACAUGCAAGUCGAACGGGAAGGCCCUGCUUUUGUGGGGUGCUCGAGUGGCGAACGGGUGAGUAACACGUGAGUAACCUGCCCUUGACUUUGGGAUAACUUCAGGAAACUGGGGCUAAUACCGGAUAGGAGCUCCUGCUGCAUGGUGGGGGUUGGAAAGUUUCGGCGGUUGGGGAUGGACUCGCGGCUUAUCAGCUUGUUGGUGGGGUAGUGGCUUACCAAGGCUUUGACGGGUAGCCGGCCUGAGAGGGUGACCGGCCACAUUGGGACUGAGAUACGGCCCAGACUCCUACGGGAGGCAGCAGUGGGGAAUAUUGCACAAUGGGCGGAAGCCUGAUGCAGCAACGCCGCGUGCGGGGUGACGGCCUUCGGGUUGUAAACCGCUUUCGCCUGUGACGAAGCGUGAGUGACGGUAAUGGGUAAAGAAGCACCGGCUAACUACGUG
rnacentral:rRNA from 1 species